rnacentral:rRNA from 1 species
CACGUAGGGUGCAAGCGUUGUCCGGAAUUAUUGGGCGUAAAGAGCUCGUAGGCGGUUUGUCGCGUCUGCUGUGAAAACUCGGGGCUCAACUCCGAGCUUGCAGUGGGUACGGGCAGACUAGAGUGCGGUAGGGGAGACUGGAAUUCCUGGUGUAGCGGUGAAAUGCGCAGAUAUCAGGAGGAACACCGAUGGCGAAGGCAGGUCUCUGGGCCAUAACUGACGCUGAGAAGCGAAAGCAUGGGGAGCGAACAGG